rnacentral:ncRNA from 1 species
UUCCGAAAAGGUAAAUCCUGGGUAAUCAGGAGGCACAAAGCUACGGGUCCUUUUGAGAAUGUUAUUUGAAAGGACCGCCGGGCUGCCGAAG